UCCAUGGUAUUCUCCAGACUGUCUGACC
rnacentral:piRNA from 1 species